rfam:Trichococcus sp. R210 isolate Trichococcus_R210 genome assembly, contig: TR210DRAFT_scaffold-3
AACCGCCGUGUACGGAACCGUACGCACGGUGGUGUGAGAGGACGGUAGAUGAACUAAUCAUCUACCUCCUACUCGAU